CGCGUGAUGCGGAAGGAGCCUCAGGGAGUGAGGCCCAACCCGGAGAAGGAAUGCCGAAUUCCCUAGCCCGCACCUCGUCCCCUAGGCUGGGCACGUCUUAAUCUCUCUUCUUCAACCUCGUGGCCGCUCCCUCCCUUCCGCAAAUAUUUACUGCGCGCCCGUCGUGUGCGAGGCACGAGGCAGGCAGGCUCCUGGUCAGAAGCAGCGCAGCGGCGCUGGCUGGUCUCGCUCCGGGGCCCCCUGCUCCGGCCGGAGGGGGGACCGCAGGGUGCCGCGCCUCUCGUCCGGGGGACUGACACGUCUCACUUCUUCCACGGCUGGAGUCCCACGGGAAGCAGUACACAGUUCCAUGCAGAAAAACAAGGCUGACCUUCCUUCUGACCUGAUGCAUUGGUCUGUUCCAGUGUGACUAAUAGAAGAUCUGAAGAGGUGGCCCUGGUGCGACGCUGGGAGGGAGUGGACCAGGCCAUGCUGUUGGAGCAGAAGGGCGGUCAGGACAGAUGGGCCUGGGGGCCAACUCUAUCCAGGAGGGGCACCUGGCCGUGACCCACGUGCACGGACACACAGAGCUGCACUGUGCGGGGAGGACCACGGGCACCGGAGACAUGGGAGCCGGGCCAUUACCUCUCCCGGCGUAAGUGAGCAACCCACUUGGCCC